GAUCCUGGCUCAGAUUGAACGCUGGCGGCAUGCUUUACACAUGCAAGUCGAACGGCAGCACAGGGAGCUUGCUCCCGGGUGGCGAGUGGCGCACGGGUGAGUAAUACAUCGGAACGUGUCCUAUUGUGGGGGAUAACUGUUCGAAAGGGUGGCUAAUACCGCAUGAGACCUGAGGGUGAAAGCGGGGGAUCGCAAGACCUCGCGCAAUUGGAGCGGCCGAUGCCCGAUUAGCUAG
rnacentral:rRNA from 1 species